rnacentral:lncRNA from 1 species
GCUGUCUAUUGCUCCACAGGGAAGAUAUUUAAGAAGAUAUUUAACAGUAAACAGUGAGAUGAUGACUGUUUGGACGAACGGAGGCAAGAUGGCGCACUUCCGGGUUCUUCAUCACC